rnacentral:misc_RNA from 1 species
GAUGAAGAACGUAGUGAAAUGCGAUAAGUAAUGUGAAUUGCAGAAUUCAGUGAAUCAUCGAAUCUUUGAACGCACAUUGCGCCCGCCAGUAUUCUGGCGGGCAUGCCUGUUCGAGCGUCAUUACAACCCUCAGGCCCCCGGGCCUGGCGUUGGGGAUCGGCGGAGCCCCCCGUGGGCACACGCCGUCCCCCAAAUGCAGUGGCGGUCCCGCCGCAGCUUCCAUCGCGUAGUAGCUAACACCUCGCGACUGGAGAGCGGCGCGGCCACGCCGUAAAACACCCAACUCUUCUGAAGUUGUCCUCGAAUCAGGUAGGAAUACCCGCUGAACUUAAGCAUAUCAAUAAGCGGAGGA